UAACCUGCCAAGAGAUCGGGAUAACACCUGGAAACAGAUGCUAAUACCGGAUAACAACAGAUGAUGCCUAUCAACUGUUUAAAAGAUGGUUCUGCUAUCACUCUUGGAUGGACCUGCGGUGCAUUAGCUAGUUGGUAGGGUAACGGCCUACCAAGGCGAUGAUGCAUAGCCGAGUUGAGAGACUGAUCGGCCACAUUGGGACUGGGACACGGCCCAA
rnacentral:rRNA from 1 species